GAUUGAUAGAAUGAAAGAGUAAAAAAAAUACAACAAAAAAACACAAUAUCAGUUCCUCUCUCUCGUUUACAGACCCAAGGGGUCUAUUUGUAAAUUUUUUUAACAAAAUAAUUCAGUUUUUAUUUUCUUUCUCUCUCUUUACCAAAGAAGAUUUGAGAAGCUAUAUCUCAUCCUCUCAACAAACCUAGCCGCCGCCGCUACCACCACCACAACUCUCACAAUCUCGUCUAUUUCUUUUCAACCUUCACCAUCUUUCUUUUCUCCUUCUCAUAUAUUUCCCGUCAAGUUUAGUUUUAGAUCGGAGAUAUUUUGAAAUUUCUCAACCGUCAUCUUCAUGGUUAGAUCUAGAUCACGAAAGACUGUCUUUUAAAAAACCAACACCAUAUAAAUACUAUACUCCUUCUCCUCUACAAAACCCACAAAGAAAAAAAUCAAGAUUGGAACACCUUCGCCAGUGACAGCCGCGCCGGAAAACACAACCACCACACCGGAAAAUCGCAAAAUGAUUGAGAUUUUGAAAUAUGGCUUCGUGUUUUCAGUGUGGGUCGCGGAAAAGAAACUCAAUGGUGAUGAUUUACCAGCGAUGUAGUGAAAAAUGAAAUCAAGUUAAAAGUUUGUUUUCAGAGGGAGAUGCAAACAGAUCAACUAUAACAAUGUGCAAGAGCUACUUCAACAAGCUUUGAUAAGAAGGAGGAACAACCUUUCACGGGACACUUGCAUUUUAUUUUUGUGUAGAUAUUUUAGUGAUAAUAUUUGUAAAGCCCAGCUUAUUUCAAACUACAAUUUAAAUAUUAAUUUAUUUUUUUUGAAUUAUAUCUUGAAUAUUACGAUAAAAUCAAUUACAUAAUUUUACAUAUUUUAUUUUAUUUUCAAUUUAAUUUAAUUUUUUCAUUUUCAAUUAAAAUAUUUUAUUUUAAUUUUGCUGAAAAUAGCUAUUUUUAUUUUUUUUAAAUAUUAAAUACAGUUCCUACGAAAAUUUCGUAGGUAAUGUGCUGACACAUGCUGACUAAAGUGGCAGCUGACACAAAUACGUUUCCUACGAAAAUUUCGUAGGUAAUGUACUGACUCAUGCUGACCACUUACACAAAUGCGUUUCCUACAAAGUUCGUCGGAAAUGUUGUAGGAAUAGUUAGGUUUUUGCCUACAAAGCUCUUGGUAGGAAAUGUCGUCGGAAAUGUUACAUUUCCUACGAAAAUGGGCACUAUUCCCACGAAAUUUUUUGUAGGUAAUGCAGAGGAUUCUUGUAGUGUUAAUGGUUAAGCAUUGAUUUGUUGCUUCCUCCGAGUAGUCCUUGAGUUGUGGUUUCUACUUGAUGGUUAAACUUUUGCCCUUAGUUGGCUUUGAUGAGUUGUGUUUCUUCCUUACGGUGGUUAAGCACUACUAGUUGUUAUUGAGUUGUUGUUUUAGCCGAUGUAUUCCGGCAAAUCUCAUUAUAUUUUCUUUUGAUUUGAUGUACUUUUGUAUUGCUUAUCCCAAGCUAGAAGUGUUGUGAACACCUUCUAGCUUGCGGGAGGGUGUUAAAGAUAUAGUUAGUUAGUAAUUAGGAGAAUUAGUUAGUAGUUUCUUGAUACCUAUAUAUAGGCUUUGAUGUAAUCUUUUACACUCACUUUUCUCAUUUUGUAAUAUUUUUCCUUCAUCAAUAUUAUACACUUUUGAGCUAUUUUCUCUCUUCUCCCAUGGAUGCCAAGUUUCUUAACAUAUGUUUGAUGCUCUGAUAGUUUCUUCAUUCAGGGGCCACCUAAUCUUGUCCGUGAUGCUAGCUGUUGGCAGCAUGAGCAUGAGUGGCGGCAAGAUAUUGCAGUUGCUACGAAGUGGCUAUCAGGAGUGUCUCCGAAAAAAAAAAGAGUAUAGGUGGCUAUCAUCCAAACGAGCUCCUACUCCUACAAAUCCGAAGCUUACAUUUGAGGAAAAGUUUCUUUCACAGCAAUCUCAAACUUCAG